rnacentral:rRNA from 1 species
CCUACGGGUGGCAGCAGUGGGGAAUAUUGCACAAUGGGCGCAAGCCUGAUGCAGCCAUGCCGCGUGUGUGAAGAAGGCCUUCGGGUUGUAAAGCACUUUCAGCGGGGAGGAAGGCGGUGAGGUUAAUAACCUCAUCGAUUGACGUUACCCGCAGAAGAAGCACCGGCUAACUCCGUGCCAGCAGCCGCGGUAAUGCGGAGGGUGCAAGCGUUAAUCGGAAUUACUGGGCGUAAAGCGCACGCAGGCGGUCUGUCAAGUCGGAUGUGAAAUCCCCGGGCUCAACCUGGGAACUGCAUUCGAAACUGGCAGGCUAGAGGCUUGUAGAGGGGGGUAGAAUUCCAGGUGUAGCGGUGAAAUGCGUAGAGAUCUGGGGGAAUACCGGUGGCGAAGGCGGCCCCCUGGACAAAGACUGACGCUCAGGUGCGAAAGCGUGGGGAGCAAACAGGAUUAGAUACCCCUGUAGUC